UGGGGGAUAUUGCACAAUGGGCGAAAGCCUGAUGCAGCGACGCCGCGUGAGGGAAGACGGUUUUCGGAUUGUAAACCUCUGUCUUCGGGGACGAAAAUGACGGUACCCGAGGAGGAAGCCACGGCUAACUACGUGCCAGCAGCCGCGGUAAUACGUAGGUGGCAAGCGUUGUCCGGAAUUACUGGGUGUAAAGGGAGAGUAGGCGGGAUUGCAAGUCAGAUGUGAAAACUAUGGGCUUAACCCAUAGACUGCAUUUGAAACUGUAGUUCUUGAGUGAAGUAGAGGUAAGCGGAAUUCCUAGUGUAGCGGUGAAAUGCGUAGAUAUUAGGAGGAACAUCGGUGGCGAAGGCGGCUUACUGGGCUUUUACUGACGCUGAGGCUCGAAAGCGUGGGGAGCAAACAGGAUUAGAUACCCUGGUAGU
rnacentral:rRNA from 1 species